rnacentral:tRNA from 1 species
GAAGGUGUAGCUCAGUGGUAGAGUGCAUGCUUGCAUGCAUAAGGUCCUGGGUUCAAUCCCUAGUACCUGUA